CCAUACACAACACCCUGAACAUGCCUGAUCUUGUCUGUUCUUAGAAGCUAAGCAGGAUCAGUCUGGUUGGUACCUGGAAGGGAAAGAGGCCUGAGUGUUGGAUUUAUAGGGUGGGAAUGCUAGGAUGGU
ensembl:rRNA 5S_rRNA 5S ribosomal RNA